CCUACGUGAGGCGGCAGUGAGGAAUAUUGGUCAAUGGACGAGAGUCUGAACCAGCGACGUAGCGUGAAGGAUGAAUGCCCUAGGGGUGGUAAACUUCUUUUAUAUGGGAAUAAAAUGUUCCACGUGUGGGAUUUUGUAUGUACCAUUUGAAUACGGAUCGGCCAACUACGUGCCAGCAGCCGCGGUAAUACGGAGGGUCCGAGCGUUAUCCGGAUUUAUUGGGUUUAAAGGGAGCGUAGGUGGAUUGUUAAGUCUGUUGUGAAAGUUUGCGGCUCAACCGUAAAAUUGCAGUUGAAACUGGGAGUCUUGAGUACAGUAGAGGUGAGCGGAAUUCGUGGUGUAGCGGUGAAAUGCUUAGAUAUCACGAAGAACUCCGAUUGCGAAGGCAGCUCACUGGACUGCAACUGACACUGAGGCUCGAAAGUGUGGGUAUCAAACAGGAUUAGAUACCCUUGUAGUC
rnacentral:rRNA from 1 species